ACUCCACUGCUGUUGUUUGAACUUUGAUCAACAUUUCCAGAUGAGUUUCCAGCACUGAAAGCAGUUUGGAUUUUUGGACUCAUUUCAACUUCUUGAACACUUUCCUUGUAAUACAUUUUCACAUCUUGUUGAUUACUCGGAUUGUUCAUCCUUGCAAUCUUUUAUUGUUCAAGAUCUUGAUCUUCAAUCUUUUUGAUGAAUUGAGAAAUUGUUAGGUCAUCAUAUUUAGGGCUGUCCAAACUGCUCGACGAUCGAAGAUCGCUCGACGAUCGCUCGAAAAAUGCUCGAAAAAUGCUCGUUCGAUUCCUGCUCAGUUUGUAAAUGAGCCGAUCGGGUCGGUUCGAUUCAAAUUCAAUCCGAGCAUGAGCAAAGCUCCGCUCGCUCGCCGAUCGCUCGGUUUCGCUCGAAUUAUUUUUUAUUAAUAAUUAAUAUAUAUAUAUAUAUAUAUAUUAUAUUUUAUAGAUUAAAAACCCAAAAAAUAUAAUAGCCCAAAAAAUUAAAAGCCCAAAUAAUAUUAGCCCAAGUUAAUAUUUAAUAUACAAAUCUAACCCUAAACUACCGCGGCGAAAGACAUUUUUGGCAUCCCGAUCACUACCGUGGCUUCCGAAUCAGCCUUUAGUGCUGGGGGGGCGUAUAUUGGAUGACUACCGAAGCUCUCUUUCAAAGGAUAUGGUGGAACUUCUUGUUUGUGGAAGUGAUUGGUUAAAGGCGAGCUCAAAAACAACCUUAAAAACAUUGAAGCAAGCUGCAAGAGAUGAAGAAAAAUUGGAAUUUGAUGUGUUGACUCCAGAUGGGUUUGAUAAUAAAUGAAAGGUUAUAUGUUGAUUUGAAGUUGAAUUUUAUGGAUGAAGAUGAACAAGCUUAGAGAAGAAGUUUAUGGCUUUUGAACUAAGUGACAAUUUGUAUUCGCACUUUAUUUUGUGUUGCUUUUGUAUUUGCACUUUAUUUUGUGUUUCUUAUGUAUUCGCACUUUAUUUUGUGUUGCUUUUGUAUUCGCACUUUAAGUUAGAAUUUGUUUUUGUUGAA